AGAGAGAGAGAGAGAGAGAGAGAGAGAGAGAGAGAGAGAGAGAGAGGAAAGAAUGUACUACAGAGGCCCCCAAUCUUAACACUUAAUUCAUGUAUUCCCCUUAUCAUCAGGACCAGGAAGGGUGAGUUGCGUUUGAGAGACGAAGAAGAAAAAAGGGAUGAUGAAGCUAAAAAACAGGUUACAAGAGGCCACAGGUGUCAUAAGUUGGUAUUUUAAGACACUUUCGCUUCUCACAUCAGCUAUUUCCAAAGGCCAAAGUGAAGACCAGUCGGGUUCUAAUGAGUGUUCUUUUAGGUUCGUGGUACAGAAGAAGGAUCAGACUACCACCAAGGCUAUAAAACUACCCCUAGAAAUGGCCCAAACUCCCACGAAAGCCUUGUCAAAUAUGUGUUCUUGGGCGGCGAAAUGUCUUAUAAUACAAUGCCCCAAUAGUUUCCCCAAUUUAAUAGUCAAGUCGUGUUUUCCUCAUCUCAUAUUAUCAAAGCCAAAGUGUGAUGGUUGCGCAUGAGACAGGUGAAGAAGAGGAGAUAACGAGGCUGCAUGGGAGGGUUAAGGAGGCCACAGGUGUCAUAGUGCCCCCAGGUUGCCAGUCAUGUUUUCCUCGUGUUAUCAAAGCCAAAUUGUGGUAACUGCGUAUGAGACAGGUGAGAUAAUGAAACUAGAGAACAAGUAACAGAUGGCCACAGGUGUUAUGAAGGAGGAGGGAGAUAAAUAAUGUACUACAGGUGUCCACAAACUUAACAGUCAACACAUGUUUUCCUCGUGUUUUCAAAGCCAGAGAGGAGUGGUUGCGUAUGAGACAGGUUGAGAUAAUACGAUGUCAAGACGAGACCACCGAACAUGAUUUUAAAAGAGGAGGAAGAUGUUACAUGGAAACAGGAUAUACAUGAAGGAGGAGAGAAAUGCAUAGUGGGUAUUAGGUCACAGGUAAGAGGAUGAAUAAUUGAAAGGUGCAACGAAAGGUCACAGGUGGGCGGGAUUCGAGGUGGGAUCGGUAAAAUGUAUUGAAGACAAAGGAAACAGGUAACACGAGAGGGAAAGGGAGAGCAGGUGACGUGGGUGAAGGGCAAGUGAGGAAGGGGAGGGGGAGGGGGAGGAGGAGGAGGAGGACAGGUGGGCACAGGUGAAGAAGAAGAGAAACAAGAAGAAAGAUAGAACAAAGAAGGAGGAGAAAAGAAAGAAAGAAAAAAGAGAAAAGAAAAGAGAAAGGAAGGAGGACAGGUGGACACAGGUAAAGAAGAAGAGAAACAAGAAGAAAGAUAGAAAAAGAAGAAGGAGUAGGAGGUGGAGGAGAAAAGAAAGGAAGAGAGAAAGAAAAAAAAGAAGGAAGAGAAAGAAAAAAAGAAAGGAAGAAGAAGAAGAAGAGGUUUUGAGGAUGGGUCAUUAAAGGUGUACAAGAGAGAGAGAGAGAGAGAGAGAGAGAGAGAGAGAGAGAGAGAGAGAGAGAGAGAGAGAGAGAGAGAGAGAGAGAGAGAGAGAGAGAGAGAG